rnacentral:rRNA from 1 species
UAGGAAGCCCACCUCAAGAUGAGUGCUCUCC